UUGAACGCUGGCGGCAGGCCUAACACAUGCAAGUCGAACGGUAACAGGAAGCAGCUUGCUGUUUCGCUGACGAGUGGCGGACGGGUGAGUAAUGUCUGGGAAACUGCCUGAUGGAGGGGGAUAACUACUGGAAACGGUAGCUAAUACCGCAUAACGUCGCAAGACCAAAGAGGGGGACCUUCGGGCCUCUUGCCAUCGGAUGUGCCCAGAUGGGAUUAGCUAGUAGGUGGGGUAACGGCUCACCUAGGCGACGAUCCCUAGCUGGUCUGAGAGGAUGACCAGCCACACUGGAACUGAGACACGGUCCAGACUCCUACGGGAGGCAGCAGUGGGGAAUAUUGCACAAUGGGCGCAAGCCUGAUGCAGCCAUGCCGCGUGUAUGAAGAAGGCCUUCGGGUUGUAAAGUACUUUCAGCGGGGAGGAAGGGAGUAAAGUUAAUACCUUUGCUCAUUGACGUUACCCGCAGAAGAAGCACCGGCUAACUCCGUGCCAGCAGCCGCGGUAAUACGGAGGGUGCAAGCGUUAAUCGGAAUUACUGGGCGUAAAGCGCACGCAGGCGGUUUGUUAAGUCAGAUGUGAAAUCCCCGGGCUCAACCUGGGAACUGCAUCUGAUACUGGCAAGCUUGAGUCUCGUAGAGGGGGGUAGAAUUCCAGGUGUAGCGGUGGAAUGCGUAGAGAUCUGGAGGAAUACCGGUGGCGAAGGCGGCCCCCUGGACGAAGACUGACGCUCAGGUGCGAAAGCGUGGGGAGCAAACAGGAUUAGAUACCCUGGUAGUCCACGCCGUAAACGAUGUCGACUUGGAGGUUGUGCCCUUGAGGCGUGGCUUCCGGAGCUAACGCGUUAAGUCGACCGCCUGGGGAGUACGGCCGCAAGGUUAAAACUCAAAUGAAUUGACGGGGGCCCGCACAAGCGGUGGAGCAUGUGGUUUAAUUCGAUGCAACGCGAAGAACCUUACCUGGUCUUGACAUCCACGGAAGUUUUCAGAGAUGAGAAUGUGCCUUCGGGAACCGUGAGACAGGUGCUGCAUGGCUGUCGUCAGCUCGUGUUGUGAAAUGUUGGGUUAAGUCCCGCAACGAGCGCAACCCUUAUCCUUUGUUGCCAGCGGUCCGGCCGGGAACUCAAAGGAGACUGCCAGUGAUAAACUGGAGGAAGGUGAGGAUGACGUCAAGUCAUCAUGGCCCUUACGACCAGGGCUACACACGUGCUACAAUGGCGCAUACAAAGAGAAGCGACCUCGCGAGAGCAAGCGGACCUCAUAAAGUGCGUCGUAGUCCGGAUUGGAGUCUGCAACUCGACUCCAUGAAGUCGGAAUCGCUAGUAAUCGUGGAUCAGAAUGCCACGGUGAAUACGUUCCCGGGCCUUGUACACACCGCCCGUCACACCAUGGGAGUGGGUUGCAAAAGAAGUAGGUAGCUUAACCUUCGGGAGGGCGCUUACCACUUUGUGAUUCAUGACUGGGGUG
rnacentral:rRNA from 1 species